CCGGCGCACGGGUGAGUAACACGUAUCCAACCUGCCGUCUACUCUUGGCCAGCCUUCUGAAAGGAAGAUUAAUCCAGGAUGGCAUCAUGAGUUCACAUGUCCGUAUGAUUAAAGGUAUUUUCCGGUAGACGAUGGGGAUGCGUUCCAUUAGAUAGUAGGCGGGGUAACGGCCCACCUAGUCAACGAUGGAUAGGGGUUCUGAGAGGAAGGUCCCCCACAUUGGAACUGAGACACGGUCCAA
rnacentral:rRNA from 1 species